AAUCUGUUGUGGGUUUAGGGUCUGAAAAACUCAGAGAAGUAUGUGUUGCCAUCAGCUUCUUUCUCUUGAAUGCUGACGAGAUUGGAGUUAAAUAACAACACUAAAUUU